rnacentral:rRNA from 1 species
CGGGGAUUAGUGGCGAACGGGUGAGUAACACGUGAGUAACCUGCCCUUAACUCUGGGAUAAGCCUGGGAAACUGGGUCUAAUACCGGAUAUGACUGAUCAUCGCAUGGUGGUUGGUGGAAAGCUUUUUGUGGUUUUGGAUGGACUCGCGGCCUAUCAGCUUGUUGGUGAGGUAAUGGCUUACCAAGGCGACGACGGGUAGCCGGCCUGAGAGGGUGACCGGCCACACUGGGACUGAGACACGGCCCAGACUCCUACGGGAGGCAGCAGUGGGGAAUAUUGCACAAUGGGCGAAAGCCUGAUGCAGCGACGCCGCGUGAGGGAUGACGGCCUUCGGGUUGUAAACCUCUUUCAGUAGGGAAGAANCGAAAGUGACGGUACCUGCAGAAGAAGCGCCGGCUAACUACGUGCCAGCANCCGCGGNAAUACGUAGGGCGCAAGCGUUAUCCGGAAUUAUUGGGCGUAAAGAGCUCGUAGGCGGUUUGUCGCGUCUGCCGUGAAAGUCCGGGGCUCAACUCCGGAUCUGCGGUGGGUACGGGCAGACUAGAGUGAUGUAGGGGAGACUGGAAUUCCUGGUGUAGCGGUGAAAUGCGCAGAUAUCAGGAGGAACACCGAUGGCGAAGGCAGGUCUCUGGGCAUUAACUGACGCUGAGGAGCGAAAGCAUGGGGAGCGAACAGGAUUAGAUACCCUGGUAGUCCAUGCCGUAAACGUUGGGCACUAGGUGUGGGGGACAUUCCACGUUUUCCGCGCCGUAGCUAACGCAUUAAGUGCCCCGCCUGGGGAGUACGGCCGCAAGGCUAAAACUCAAAGGAAUUGACGGGGGCCCGCACAAGCGGCGGAGCAUGCGGAUUAAUUCGAUGCAACGCGAAGAACCUUACCAAGGCUUGACAUGAACCGGAAAGACCUGGAAACAGGUGCCCCGCUUGCGGUCGGUUUACAGGUGGUGCAUGGUUGUCGUCAGCUCGUGUCGUGAGAUGUUGGGUUAAGUCCCGCAACGAGCGCAACCCUCGUUCUAUGUUGCCAGCACGUGAUGGUGGGGACUCAUAGGAGACUGCCGGGGUCAACUCGGAGGAAGGUGGGGACGACGUCAAAUCAUCAUGCCCCUUAUGUCUUGGGCUUCACGCAUGCUACAAUGGCCGGUACAAAGGGUUGCGAUACUGUGAGGUGGAGCUAAUCCCAAAAAGCCGGUCUCAGUUCGGAUUGGGGUCUGCAACUCGACCCCAUGAAGUCGGAGUCGCUAGUAAUCGCAGAUCAGCAACGCUGCGGUGAAUACGUUCCCGGGCCUUGUACACACCGCCCGUCAAGUCACGAAAGUUGGUAACACCCGAAGCCGGUGGCCUAACCCCUUGUGGGAG